CAUGUUUUCUUUUUUGUCUGUUUCCAUUCCAACAAACAAGAAGGCUGAACCUCUAGCUUUAAAGACAGACAGGAGGUCAUGUUUUCUUUGUCUGUUUCCAUUCCAACAAACAGGAAGGCUGAACCUCUAGCUUUAAAGACAGACAGGAGGUCAUGUUUUUUUGGAAGUUGCAAAGGCUUUUAAAAAAUGUUUUAAACCCAAAUACAGCAGUUUGAGUAUGAUUGAGUGUCCAUGUUGAUACGAUAAGCUUCAAAAGGAGUGCAUUGUGUUCAUGCUUAAUCAUGUUUGUUUGUUUUUAACUUGUUUCAAAAGACAUGUUAUUGUGUUGAUAUUAUUGUUUCUGUUCAAGCUUUAGCUGACGAGCCUGUAGCCCUAAGGAACAUCAGCAUUACCAGGGAAACCGCCUGCCUGCUGCUUGUGCCUUGGCCAUAGUCUGUUUGUCCCAAUAUGUUAGAGAUCACAUAUAGCACUUAAUUGGUCAACCAUUGACUUUAUUACAUUAUGAUUUCUUUACCUGUGUAACUAUUUAAAAUUACCCAACAAAUCUUGCUUAACGAACCCUGAUGAGCAGAGGAGGGGUAGUUUGAUAUGUUAUAUUGGAACCCUGGUGAGCAGAGGGGGGUAGGUCGACAUGUUAUAUUGGUACCCUGGUGAGCAGAGGGGGUGGCAGAGGAGCAUGUUAUAUUGGAACCCUGGUGAGCAGAGGGGUAGUUUGAUAUGUUAUAUUGGAACCCUGGUGAGCAGAGGAGGGGUAGUUUGAUAUGUUAUAUUGGAACCCUGGUGAGCAGAGGAGCGGUAGUUCGACAUGUUAUAUUGGAACCCUGGUGAGCAGAGGAGCGGUAGUUCGACAUGUUAUAUUGGAACCCUGGUGAGCAGAGGGGGGGUAGGUCGACAUGUCGGCAUCCUGGUUGCAUCAGUGCCUGGUAUGGCAACUGCUCGGCCUUCGACCGCAAGGCACUACAAGAGGGUGUACGGCCCAGUACAUCACUGGGACCAAGCUUCCUGCCAUCCAGGACCUCUAUACCAGGCAGUGUCAGAGGAAGGCCCUAAAAAUGGUCAAAGACUCCAGCCCCCUAGUCAUAGACUGUUCUCUCUGCUACCGCACGGCAAGCGGUACCAGAUCUCCAUGUAUAGGUCCAAAAGGCUUCUCAACAGCUUCUACCCCCAAGCCAUAAGACUCCUGAACAUCUAAUCAAAUGGCUACCCAGACUAUUUGCAUUGUCCCCCCAUCCCCUCUUUUACGCUGCUGCUGCUCUCUGUUUAUUAUCUAUGCAUAGUCACUUUAACUCUACCUACAUGUACAUAUUACCUCAAUUACCUGGACUAACCGGUGCUCCCGCACAUUGACUCUGUACCUGUAACCCCUGUAUAGAGCCUCGCUAUUGUUAUCUACUGCUGCUCUUUAAUUAUUUGUUACUUUUCUUUCUUAUUUUUUACUUAACGUAUUUUUCUUAAAACAUUGUUGGUUAAGGGCUUGUAAGUAAGUAUUUCACUGUAAGGUUGUUACCUGUUGUAUUUGGUGUAUGUGACAAAUAACAUGUGAUUUGAUUUGAUUCAACACUGACCAACUUUGAGCGACUUUAACACUGACCACUUUAACACUGACUGACUUGCAUCCAGACUCUGAUACUGGUUAGUUAGCAUGUUUCCACUGUUUGUUUUCUUUUCUCUUCCUUCUCCCUCAUCACUCUUUCUCAGGAGACUCUGUUCCCACAACACCCUUAUGUAACUGCCUGCAUUACUCUCUCUCUCUCUCUCUCGCCCCUUACCCAUCCACUAUCAGUGUCUGUGUCCUCAGAGCGCGCUCCUGGCCUAGUCUCUGAUUGGCUCUGACAAAGUAAACAUGGCUGCCAUCAGAGCCCUUGUAAGUGGAGGAAGAAGGAGGGGGAGAUAUGGAAAUCACUAGAUGGCCACGCUAGAAACGACAUCAGCUAUUUCACAUGACCUGUUGAGAUAGUACAUGAGCUAUCUGCUCUGAAUCUACAUCUAGGGUUAUGUCUAAGAUUAGGAUAUAGGUUCAUGGUUAAAGUAAGAGGUUAGACAAAACAUAGUAAAUAUAAAUCUGACACUCUUUAGUAUGAUAUGUUACGUUUGGUGUUACAUAAGAGAGAAGUUUACUUAAUGCAAAAACAAAAGUAGGGUGGAUGGAUGGACAUAUAACACUAAAGUUUAGCAACCGAAGGUUGCGUGUUUGUAUCUCAUCACAGACAACUUUAGUAUUUUAGCUAAUGAGAAACUUUGCAUCUACUUAAUACUUUUUAACAACUUUACAAUUACUUAGCGUGUCAGCUAACCCUUCCCCUAAACCAGCGGGCGGUUCCCAAACUAGGGGUUGGGAGAAUUUCCAAAAUCCAGAUGAAAAUAAAUAUACACACAGUACCAGUCAAAUGUUUGGACACCCCUACUCAUUCAAGGGUUUUUCUUUAUUUUUACUAUUUUCUAUAUUGUAGAAUAAUAGUGAAGACAUCAAAACUUUGAAAUAACACAUAUGGAAUGUAGUAACCAAAUGAGUGUUAUACAAAUAAAAAACACUUUCGAUUUUAGAUUCUUCAAAGUAGCAACCAUUUGCCUUGAUGACAGCUUUGCACAUGCUUGGCAUUCUCUCAACCUGCUUCAUGAGGAAUGUUUUUCCAACACUCUCCAAGGAGUUCCCACAUAUGCUUAGCACUUGUUGGCGGCUUUUCCUUCACUCUGCGGUCCAAGUCAUCCUCAACCAUCUCCUCCUCCAUGCUUCACGGUGGGAACCACACAUGCAGAAAUCAUCUGUUCACCUACUCUGCAUCUCACAAAGACAGCAGUUGGAACCAAAAAUAGCAACUUUGGACUGAUCAGACCAAAGGACAGAUUUCCACCAGUCUAAUGCCCAUUGGUUGUGUUUCUUGGCCCAGGCAAGUCUCUUCUUAUUAUUGGUGUCUUGAAAUGUUCUUGAAAUGUUCCGGAUUGACUGACCUUCAUGUCUUAAGUUAAUAAUGGGCUGUCGUUUCUCUUUGCUUAUUUGAGCUGUUCUUUUCAAAAUACGGACUUGGUCUUUUACCAAAUAGGGCUAUCUUCUGUAUACCACCCCUACCUUGUCACAACACAACUGAUUGGCUAAAAGGCAUUAAAACUUCUUAGGGAUAGGAGUCCCGCUUAAAUUCUUGUUACUUUAACUGCACUGUCCGAUUUACAGUAGCUAUUACAGCAAAAACAUGCCAUGUGAUUGUUUGAGGUUGGCGUCCCACAUCAAAAUAUUUUUCCACCUGCACAGGUUUCAUACAUUCACAAAUAACGAUUAAAUAUUCACUUACUUUUUGAAAAUCUUCCUCUGAUAUGUCAUCCAAAGGGUCCCAGCUAUAACAUGUAGUGUCGUUUUGUUAGAUAAAAUCCUUCUUUAUAUCCCAAAAAAUCUGUUUAGUUGGUGCCAUCGAUUUGAGUUAUCCACUCGUUCAACGUGCGGAAAAAGGAAUCCAAAAAUCUACCCCUAAACUUUGUUUCAACAAGUCAAAAUCUGUUUCUAUUGAAACCUCGGAUACCCUAAAAUGUAAUCAAACUAUCAUUUUUCUUACGGAAAGAAGUAUGCUCAAUAGGAAAUAGAUUUAGCAGGUGCGUAUUGUCUUCAUGGCACGCGCAAACACGAAUUUCCAAGACUGUGUCCUUUUGCUAAAACGGAUAUUUCUUAUUCGUUUUUGAAGUUACAAGCCUGAAACCCUGAACAUAGACUGCUGACACCCUGUGGAAGCCAUAGGAAUUACAUCCAGGGAGCUCAUUUUCAAUAUGACCUUACUGUAACGUUCUGACCUUAGUUCCUUUGUUUUGUUUUAGUAUGGUCAAGGUGUGAGUUGGGGUGGGCAGUCUAUGUUUGUUUUUCUAGGUUGAUUUUUGAGUUUGGCCUGGUAUGGUUCUCAAUCAGAGGCAGGUGUCGUAAGUUGUCUCUGAUUGAGAAUCAUACUUAGGUAGCCUUUUUCCAUCUGUGUUUUGUGGGUGUUUAUUUUCUGUUUUGUGUGUCAUCACUAGACAGGACUGUUUCGUUUGUUCGUUCUUCCUAGUUGUUAUUUUGUUUAGUGUUCAGUUUUGCUUAUAUUAAAUAUCAUGAACACUUACCACGCUGCACCUUGGUCCUCACCUUCUUCCACCGACGACGGCCGUUGCACUUACUCUUGCAUUUCUAUUCUCCUACAAUAUUUUAACAUUUCUACAAACUUCAAAGUGUUUUCUUUCAAAUGGUACUAAUCAAAUCAAAUCACAUUUAUUUAUAUAGCCCUUCGUACAUCAGCUGAUAUCAGCUAAUUAUAUGCAUAUCCUGGCUUCAGGGCCUGAGCUACAGGCAGUUUACUUUGGGCAUGACAGGAAGUGGAGGAAAAAGGGGCAUAGCCCUAAGAAAGGCAUUACGAAGGAAAGAAAUUCCACAAAUGAACUUUUAACAAGGCACACCUGUUAAUUGAAAUGCAUUCCAGGUGACUACCUCAUGAAGCUGGUUGAGAGAAUGCCAAGAGUGUGCAAAGCUAUCAUCAAGGCAAAGGGUGGCUACUUUGCAGAAUCUCAAAUAUAAAACAUAUUUUGAUUUGUUUAACACUUUUUUGGUUACUACAUGAUUCCAUAUGUGUUAUUUCAUAGUUUUG
ensembl:lncRNA